rnacentral:rRNA from 1 species
AUUGAACGCUGGCGGCAUGCUUUACACAUGCAAGUCGAACGGUAACAGGUUAAGCUGACGAGUGGCGAACGGGUGAGUAAUGCAUCGGAACGUGCCCGGUCGUGGGGGAUAACGCAGCGAAAGCUGCGCUAAUACCGCAUACGAUCUAAGGAUGAAAGCGGGGGACCGUAAGGCCUCGCGCGAUCGGAGCGGCCGAUGUCAGAUUAGGUAGUUGGUGGGGUAAAGGCUCACCAAGCCAACGAUCUGUAGAUGGUCUGAGAGGACGACCAGCCACACUGGGACUGAGACACGGCCCAGACUCCUACGGGAGGCAGCAGUGGGGAAUUUUGGACAAUGGGCGAAAGCCUGAUCCAGCAAUGCCGCGUGCAGGAAGAAGGCCUUCGGGUUGUGAACUGCUUUUGUACGGAGCGAAAAGGUCUCCUCUAAUACAGGGGGCUCAUGACGGUACCGUAAGAAUAAGCACCGGCUAACUACGUGCCAACCGCCGCGGUAA